AUUGAACGCUGGCGGCAUGCCUUACACAUGCAAGUCGAACGGCAGCACGGGAGCAAUCCUGGUGGCGAGUGGCGAACGGGUGAGUAAUAUAUCGGAACGUGCCCAGUGAUGGGGGAUAGCCCGGCGAAAGCCGGAUUAAUACCGCAUACGACCUACGGGUGAAAGCAGGGGAUCGCAAGACCUUGCGUCAUUGGAGCGGCCGAUAUCAGAUUAGCUUGNGGUAGGGGUAAAAGCCUACCAAGGCGACGAUCUGUAGCUGGUCUGAGAGGACGACCAGCCACACUGGGACUGAGACACGGCCCAGACUCCUACGGGAGGCAGUAGUGGGGAAUUUUGGACAAUGGGCGCAAGCCUGAUCCAGCCAUGCCGCGUGCGGGAAGAA
rnacentral:rRNA from 1 species